rnacentral:rRNA from 1 species
CUCAAUUUAAAAUCUGGCAGUCUUUGGCUGUCCGAGUUGUAAUCUGGAGAAGCGUCUUCCGCGCUGGACCGUGUACAAGUCUCCUGGAACGGAGCGUCAUAGAGGGUGAGAAUCCCGUCUUUGACACGGACUACCAGUGCUUUGUGAUGCGCUCUCAAAGAGUCGAGUUGUUUGGGAAUGCAGCUCAAAAUGGGUGGUAAACUCCAUCUAAAGCUAAAUAUUGGCGAGAGACCGAUAGCGAACAAGUACCGUGAGGGAAAGAUGAAAAGCACUUUGGAAAGAGAGUUAAACAGUACGUGAAAUUGCUGAAAGGGAAACGCUUGAAGUCAGUCGCGUUUGCUAGGAUUCAGCCUUGCCUCGGCUUGGUGCAUUUCCUAGUAGACGGGCCAGCAUCACUUUUGGCUGCGGGAAAAAGGUCAGAGGAAUGUGGCACCUUCGGGUGUGUUAUAGCCUCUGGCUGUAUACCGUGGCUGGGAGUGAGGAUCUCAGCACGCCUUCAUGGCGGGGCUUCGGCCACCUUCGUGCUUAGGAUGCUGGCGUAAUGGCUUUAAACGACCC